UAAUUGCCAGUGUUCAACAUAAGAUAAGUUAAUUCACUCCACUAUUUGGUUUUGAAAAGUGUAGUCAAGUUUAAAAUUAAAAACCGUUAAAUAACCAAUAAUUGAGACAGACUGUGUUGGUCUAAAAUAAGAAACAAAGAAGCUGUAAAUUGAUUUAGCUAACAUUACCCUCGAUGUCCUCAUUAUUGUGCAAAUCAGCCAGUUGAGUUUAAUACAAAGAUUAAAAAGUGAAAAGUCUCUCCAUCAGAAUCUUUUGUAAAGCUCAAGAAAACACAUUUGAGAUGAUCUGGCCGAGGUUAGCCAAAAACAGCUGAACACAUUCACAAAGCUGACGUGAAGCAGCGAUAUAGUUGCAUGGUGAUUGAUUUUAAAGAUCAGGCGUAAUUUUAAAAAUGUAUCAAAAUUUGAUCACGAUGCACACAAAAUGGACAUUAAAGAUUCCUUGAUUAGACCUGCUAAAUUUGGAUUUGACUCAAAAAUUGGAAUUUCACUCAUUUUUAUUGAAUCAAUGAUAUUCAAAUCGGGAUUAAUGGUGAUGAGAAUGAUCAACAUGAUUUCAACCUUUUACUUUUAUUUUAAAUAUGUUGAUUAAUCUGCGUAAUCAUGGCGAAUGAUUUUGUUGUAAAGGAUAAACAGUCGACCACCCAACUUAAUGAUAAUCAGCACCAGUCAAACAACUUGUAAAGUCUGCUGGUCAACUGAGGAAGUGUCAAAGAAUCAAGUUGAUGAUGAUAAUGGACAACACACUGCGUGGGUCGUUUGUUAAUAAACGUGAUUACAAUUCAAGUGUUGGUUAGGAAGACAAAAGUUCACUUUGGUCAUUGCUUAUUCAUUUUUCAAAAUCGGAACCAUGUAUUAAUUAAUUGAUAUGGCUAAUUAAGUGUUGUAUUGGCUGCGUCAAUUGAAUUACAUGGUUGUUUCUCUUCUUUUUGACAGUUUCAUUUCAUUUGAAUAUAUUUCUAUUAUACAAUUUGGAAAGCAUAUCAUGAUUAUUGAUUGAUUAAGUGGUGUUACCGGUGAUGCAGACUGAAGCUUAAGCAAUGAGCAACCACAGUGAUAAAGAUUAAUCAGUCAAGCAGUUUCAAGGUGUUCAUCUGCUGUAAAUUAUUUCAUUUACAACCAUUAAUCACAUCCAACAACAAUCUCAACUCUCUAUUGUGUCUAAUGAUGGAAAACAAUCAACAUGUGAUUAGAGCAAAGAAUAAGUGGAUAAUUACCAUUAUUCAUACACCAAUAUUCAUCAAUUUAACCGGUCAAUUGGGAGAGAACGAUUGAAUAAUUUAACAAUCUUGAUGAUGUUGGUUACCGGUAUUACUAGUCGUAUUAUAUUUUCAUCACUAUUGUUAUCACUAUUAUUGUACUCAUCAUCAGAAUGAUUGGUUUAAAUUAUUUGGACGUAUAUUGUUGGACCCACAUCAUUUGUUACAUUUAAAUAAUUAGCUGAACAUUUUAAAUGGCCUGAUUGAUGAUUUCCAAUGAAAUGUAAUGUUUCUCUCAAAACACAAUUGUAAUUGUGACUUUCUAUUGCUGCUAUAUAAUACGAUUGUUAUACUCGUUUUAAUUAUCAUUUAAAAUGUUAAUCUUGAUGUUUAAUUGAAACAUAAUGCUGUUAAUGCUGUUGUGUGUUAUGAGCGAAGAGCCGAAAGGAUAAAAUAUGGCCGGUUCAAUUGUGUAUAUCAUCACGAAUAGUUCACAAUGCAAUUUUGUUGCCUUCUCUAACAAUUUGCAUCAACCAAAUCAAGUUAAUUAUAAUAAAUAAUGAUAGUUAAUGCGGAAAUGGCUUGAAAAAUAAACAAAAAGGCAAAAUUUAUUUUGUCCAAUUCACGAUCAUCAUCAUAUAAUACAUCAUAUAUACAUCAUCAUCACCAUUGAGGAUAAGAGCGCAAAGAUUAUUAAGUUACUAAGGACAGGUCAGAUGAAAGGCUAUCGUCACAAUUUUCAAUUGUUGUAAUCAAUAUUUCAUCCAAUUUGUGUAACAUCAUCAUCAACAACAACAACAGCAACAAUUGAUUGGCUUCAAUGGAGAUAAGUUGAGUGCUGAUGGAAGUAAAUGAACAAUUGGAAACAAAACAAAAUGGCAAAAUAUUAAAACAAGUAAAAUGGAAUAAUAAAGGAUUAAUUUUUGAUUCGGAUCAAAGAGCCUGAUUUGAGAUGAUGCUGAUGAUGGUAAAGGAGAGGGAGGAAAGAUGAUCAUGUAUAUCAUUAUUGAGAAGAUGAUAAAUGAAAGUGAUUCAAAUUUGAAAGGAAUUGAUAAUGUUAAGCCGAUUUUAAAUUGUAAAAUGACCCAAGGCGAAAUCACAUUAAAUGAUUCCAUCUCAUUUUGAGAUUGUCAUUUAUUUUGUAGGUAAUGAGUUGGCCAGAAACAAGGUAUUACAUCUAUUAUAAACAAGCAAAUCAUCAAUAAUUGCCCAAAGAACCGGUAAUUUAACCUGAUGGAAAUUAAUCAACCAAAAUAAAGCUUUCAAUCAGAAUCUUUUCCUAUUCGGUCGUUUGAUUCUCAUUUUCGCUGCACUUUAAUAGGAAUACCGAUUAAAACUGAGCCAUGUUGAUCGCUAAUUAAUCUUUAAUUAAACGUGAUUGCUGAUUGUUAUCUCCAAACUUUACCUUCAGUAUCAACAGUCCUGAAAGAUGGUCACACUUGGACACUCAACUUCGUUCUGAGUUUUAACCAGUUAAAUAUUCAAAUGUUUGCAAGUUUCAAAUUUAAGAAUUCAAAUUAGCUAAAUAAUUUGACUUAAACCUGUCAUGAUAAAAAGCAAACAAAAUAAAACAAAAUAAAAGUUCAACAUCGUGAAACACUUAACACAAUCAAGUAAACCUGGUCAACAACUGAAUCUAGUGGUGAAAUGAAUCUUCCCGGCGAAACUUGAACAUUGUAAUAUUAUCAAUGCCACUGACUACUAACUAAAGGAGUUGAUUGCAAAAGAUGUACUCUAAAUGGCCAUCUCAAGAGCAAACAAUUUAAUCCAUGAAAUAAGCCUGAAAUUAAUCAAAUUGCUGUUUAACCACUUUCACUCGAUUCCAUUGCGCUGUCAUUUCAACCAUCAAUCUAGUUUUCACAAUAAGAAGCAGCUAUUUCAAGUCAAGGACAAUCAACAAUUAACCAACAAAUCCACAAAUGUGCACUAUUAUACAUUAACAUUACCCAUCACAAAUCCUGCAGAGUUAUUAUAAUAUUUUUGAGCCUCCAGUGAUUUAGAUCAGUCAAUCACUUUUUUUUCAUUAACCUUAAGUUAUACUUAAUCUUUUUUCUGACUUGCUUAAAUGUUGUAAAUCAUUUCAGGUUCAGUCUUGAUUGUAACUUUUACUGUUUACUGUUUAUAACAUUUUAAAGAUGACUCAAGGAUUGACAAAUUGAAAUCAAAUAUACAAUUUAAAUUAGAUGGUUAUAACCAUGAUUGUGGUCAAGAUUGGAUGUAAAUGCGCUGUUAUUGCUACCAAAACAAAAUAUUUUCUGAUGAUCUAAU